rnacentral:rRNA from 1 species
UACAGAGGGUGCGAGCGUUAAUCGGAAUUACUGGGCGUAAAGCGUGCGCAGGCGGUGGCUCAAGCCAGGCGUGAAAUCCCCGGGCUUAACCUGGGAAUGGCGUUUGGGACUGGGUCGCUAGAGUGUGGCAGAGGGAGGUGGAAUUCCACGUGUAGCAGUGAAAUGCGUAGAGAUGUGGAGGAGCACCGAUGGCGAAGGCAGCCUCCUGGGCCAGCACUGACGCUCAUGCACGAAAGCGUGGGGAGCAAACAGG